GUCAGAUAGCUCAGUGGUAGAGCAGAGACUGAAAUC
rnacentral:tRNA from 2 species